UACGUAGGGUGCAAGCGUUGUCCGGAAUUAUUGGGCGUAAAGAGCUCGUAGGCGGUCUGUCACGUCGGCUGUGAAAUCCCGAGGCUCAACCUCGGGUCUGCAGUCGAUACGGGCAAACUAGAGUAUUGCAGGGGAGACUGGAAUUCCUGGUGUAGCGGUGAAAUGCGCAGAUAUCAGGAGGAGCACCGGUGGCGAAGGCGGGUCUCUGGGCAAUAACUGACGCUGAGGAGCGAAAGCGUGGGGAGCGAACAGG
rnacentral:rRNA from 1 species